GAUGAAGAACGCAGCGAAAUGCGAUAAGUAGUGUGAAUUGCAGAAUUCAGUGAAUCAUCGAAUCUUUGAACGCACAUUGCGCCCCUCGGUAUUCCUUAGGGCAUGCCUGUUCGAGCGUCAUCUACACCCUCAAGCACAGCUUGGUGAUGGGCGCCUGUCCCGCCCCCCACGGGGGCGCGGACUCGCCUCAAAUGCAUUGGCGGCCGGCGACCUGGCUUCGAGCGCAGCAGAAACGCGUACUCGGGGACCGGGCGCCCGCUCCCAGAAGCCAACCCACCCAGUUUGACCUCGGAUCAGGUAGGGAUACCCGCUGAACUUAAGCAUAUCAAUAAGCGGA
rnacentral:misc_RNA from 1 species